UUGUCCGUAAACCCUUGCUCCUAUAUAAGUAGAUCAACCUAGUAGCUUUUUUCUUGGGAUUUGUUUAGUUAAAAGUUAGCCAUUGCAACUUCGUGUACUUUGUUUGUGUCCAACGACCAAACUAAGACCUCUUUCGGAUCCCCACCUAUAGCAUCCCAAAUUUCGGAAUGUUAUACUAAAUAGGUGAGUGAUGGUUUGAUUGAUUGAGUGAUUUAAUUCGAGUGAAAAAUUAGAAUCUUUUGAUUGAGCGGGAAUAAAAUGACUUUCCCCUUUUCCUAUGGAUUCAAGUUCAUCCAUUUAAAAUCAGUUAGAGAAGAUAACAUGACUUCU
rnacentral:lncRNA from 1 species